rnacentral:siRNA from 1 species
UGGUGCUUCUUGAAUCAUCUC